AUUGAACGCUGGCGGCAGGCCUAACACAUGCAAGUCGAGCGGAUGAAGGGAGCUUGCUCCUGGAUUCAGCGGCGGACGGGUGAGUAAUGCCUAGGAAUCUGCCUGGUAGUGGGGGAUAACGUCCGGAAACGGGCGCUAAUACCGCAUACGUCCUGAGGGAGAAAGUGGGGGAUCUUCGGACCUCGCGCUAUCAGAUGAGCCUAGGUCGGAUUAGCUAGUUGGUGGGGUAAAGGCCUACCAAGGCGACGAUCCGUAACUGGUCUGAGAGGAUGAUCAGUCACACUAGAACUGAGACACGGUCCAGACUCCUACGGGAGGCAGCAGUGGGGAAUAUUGGACAAUGGGCGAAAGCCUGAUCCAGCCAUGCCGCGUGUGUGAAGAAGGUCUUCGGAUUGUAAAGCACUUUAAGUUGGGAGGAAGGGCAGUAAGUUAAUACCUUGCUGUUUUGACGUUACCAACAGAAUAAGCACCGGCUAACUUCGUG
rnacentral:rRNA from 1 species